GGAACCGUGGUGUACGGGUAAGCAUGGUUGCCUCUCACCCAGUCGGCUUGGGUUCGAUCCCAGACGGUUCCG
rfam:Culex pipiens quinquefasciatus supercont3.482 genomic scaffold, whole genome shotgun sequence.